AUACUUACCUGGACGGGGUCGAUGGGCGAUCAUAAAGGCUCAUGGCCUAGGUAGGUAACCUCCAUUGCACUUGAGGAGGGGUGCCCACCUAACAUCUUCCCAAAGUGGAAGAGUGUACGUCAUAAUUUGUGUUAGUGGGGGUCUGCGUUCGCGCAACCCCUA
rnacentral:snRNA from 1 species